UUUAUUUAUUCAUGUUUUAAUUAUUUUUUAAAGCAAUUUUACAAGAAGAAAGCAAUCGGCAUGACAAUUAUACAAUUUUCGUUCAGCUUCAGUUUUAACAUUUUAUAAACUGAUAAAUGAAUCGG